rnacentral:rRNA from 1 species
GAUGAACGCUGGCGGCGUGCCUAAUACAUGCAAGUCGAGCGAACAGACGAGGAGCUUGCUCCUCUGACGUUAGCGGCGGACGGGUGAGUAACACGUGGAUAACCUACCUAUAAGACUGGGAUAACUUCGGGAAACCGGAGCUAAUACCGGAUAAUAUAUUGAACCGCAUGGUUCAAUAGUGAAAGACGGUUUUGCUGUCACUUAUAGAUGGAUCCGCGCCGCAUUAGCUAGUUGGUAAGGUAACGGCUUACCAAGGCGACGAUGCGUAGCCGACCUGAGAGGGUGAUCGGCCACACUGGAACUGGGACACGGUCCAGACUCCUACGGGAGGCAGCAGUAGGGAAUCUUCCGCAAUGGGCGAAAGCCUGACGGAGCAACGCCGCGUGAGUGAUGAAGGUCUUCGGAUCGUAAAACUCUGUUAUUGGGGAAGAACAAAUGUGUAAGUAACUAUGCACGUCUUGACGGUACCUAAUCAGAAAGCCACGGCUAACUACGUG